UUAGGUACAAUAAAGCCAACAGAUGAAGAGACAACUGCCAUUGAAAAGAUAAUUUGUUAUACUCUUAGAUCCCAAAAAAAGGAAGGUCAUACUAGGAAUCACCAAGCUUGGCCAUGAGGCAGAAGGAGAGCAACAGACUAUGGUCCAGAUCCUUUAUUGUGGUUUCUACAGGAAGGAACAGGCAAAGCAGUCCCCAAUCCUCAGGCACAUGUGCACCUUGCAAAGCCUUAUCAUCCUUGGCCAGAUGCUAAUUUUCCAGAUCAGGAAGCACCAGUUAUCUAUAUUUAUAAAAUGAAUAAAUGGAUGCCCUACACAAUUCUUACUAAUACUCAUGGAGCAGGUAACCAUACAUUGAGAUCUCUGCUAACGCUGCCACAGAAAACCAGACACCCUCAUGAUGGUCUCUGGUACCAGGCACAAAAGAAACAGCAAAAGCAAGCCACCAUAUUCCAUUAACUAUGCAAAUGUCAUGGGAGUGUGACUGAUUGGCAGAACCAAAAUUACAUUCAGAGCUAUAGCUGCAAGACUUCCUGGAAAAUAUAGAAUUCAAGCCGCUGCAAUAAAGAAAAACACACCAGAAAUAUGUUUAAAUGACUGUUGUUCUCCAACCAAUUAUGUCCACUUCCAAUUAAAAUAAA
rnacentral:lncRNA from 1 species